rnacentral:rRNA from 1 species
GGCGCACGGGUUGAGUAACGCGUUGGGUAACCUACCCUUGAAUCUGGAAUAACCCGCCGAAAGGCGGACUAAUACCGGAUAUCGUUCCGGAGACGCAUGCCUUCGGUAUGAAAGGUGACCUCUUCAUGAAAGUUGCCGUUCGGGGACGGGCUCGCGUACCAUUAGCUAGUUGGUAGGGUAAUGGCCUACCAAGGCGACGAUGGUUAGCUGGUCUGAGAGGAUGAUCAGCCACACUGGAACUGGAACACGGUCCAGACUCCUACGGGAGGCAGCAGUGAGGAAUUUUGCGCAAUAGGGGAAACCCUGACGCAGCAACGCCGCGUGAGUGAAGAAGGCCUUCGGGUCGUAAAGCUCUGUC